rnacentral:rRNA from 1 species
AGAGUUUGAUCCUGGCUCAGGAUAAACGCUGGCGGCGUGCCUAACACAUGCAAGUCGAACGCUCUCUUGCCGCAAGGUGAGAGGGAGUGGCGGACGGGUGAGUAACACAUGGGAAUCGACCCAUUCGUGAGGAAUACCACCGAGAAAUCGGUGACAAUACCGCAUACGCUUUCUUCGGGAAGCAAAGCUCUUCGCAAGAGGGGCGCGAGUGGACGAGCCUGUGCCUGAUUAGCUAGUUGGUGGGGUAAGAGCCUACCAAGGCUGCGAUCAGUCGCUGGUCUGAGAGGAUGAUCAGCCACACUGGGAUUGAGAACGGCCCAGACUCCUACGGGGGGCAGCAGUGAGGAAUAUUCGGCAAUGGGGGCAACCCUGACCGAGCAACGCCGCGUGCAGGAAGACGGCCUUCGGGUUGUAAACUGCUUUUCUGGGGGAAGAGAACGGACGGUACCCCAGGAAGAAGCUCCGGCUAACUACGUGCCAGCAGCCGCGGUAAUACGUAGGGAGCGAGCGUUGUCCGGAGUUACUGGGCGUAAAGCGCACGCAGGCGGUCUGUCGCGUUCGUGCCGACAGCGACUCGCCUAACGAGUCGAGGAGUACGGAAACGGGCAGACUUGAGGGCCAGAGAGGGACACGGAACUCCGGGUGGAGUGGUGAAAUGCGUAGAGAUCCGGAAGAACACCAAAGGCGAAGGCAGUGUCCUGGUUGGUACCUGACGCUCAGAGGCGACAGCUAGGGGAGCGAACGGGAUUAGAUACCCCGGUAGUCC